rnacentral:rRNA from 1 species
UUGUGUCCAUCGGUCAACAGGUCAUUACAGCGUAAGCAUCUGCCCGGCAUUGGGGAGAUAACUUGAGGAAACUCAAGCUAAUACCGCAUACGCCCUACGGGGGAAAGCAGGGGCUCUUCGGACCUUGCGCUAUCGGAUGAGCUUAUGUCGGAUUAGCUAGUUGGUGAGGUAACGGCUUACCAAGGCGACGAUCCGUAUCUGGUCUGAGAGGAUGAUCAGCCACAUCGGGACUGAGACACGGCCCGAACUCCUACGGGAGGCAGCAGUGGGGAAUAUUGGACAAUGGGCGAAAGCCUGAUCCAGCCAUGCCGCGUGUGUGAAGAAGGCCCUCGGGUUGUAAAGCACUUUCAGUGAGGAAGAAGGCUUGUCGGUUAAUACCCGGCAGGAAAGACAUCACUCACAGAAGAAGCCCCGGGUAACUCCGUGCCAGCAGCCGCGGUAAUACGGAGGGGGCAAGCGUUAAUCGGAAUUACUGGGCGUAAAGCGUGCGUUAGGCGGCUUGGUAAGCCGGUUGUGAAAGCCCCGGGCUCAAACCUGGGAAUGGCAUCCGGAACUGUCAAGCUAGAGUGCAUGAGAAGAAGGUAGAAUUCCCCGGUGUUUCCGUUGAAAAUGCCGUUGAGA